rnacentral:miRNA from 1 species
UCUCUGUGUGUGUGUGUGUGUAUGUGUAUGUGUGUGUGUGUGUGUGUGUGUGUGUACACACACACACACACACACACACAGAGA